UAAUACAGAGACUGCAAGCGUUAUUCGGAUUCACUGGGCGUAAAGGGUGCGCAGGCGGCCGUGUGUGUCAGGUGUGAAAGCCCGGGGCUUAACCCCGGAAUUGCGCCUGAAACUACAUGGCUAGAGCAUUGGAGAGGGUAGCAGAAUUCACGGUGUAGCAGUGAAAUGCGUAGAUAUCGUGAGGAAUACCAGAGGCGAAGGCGGCUACCUGGACAAUUGCUGACGCUCAGGCACGAAAGCGUGGGGAGCAAAAGGG
rnacentral:rRNA from 1 species